AGUGAACGCUGGCGGCACGCUUAACACAUGCAAGUCGCACGGGCAGCAAUGUCAGUGGCCGACGGGGGAGUAACGCGUAGGGAUAUUUUCAGAGGUGUGGGACAACCCCGGGAGACUGGGGCUAAUACCGCAUAUGUUCUGAGGGGCAAAGCAGUGAUGCGCCUUUGGAGUAACCUGCGUCCGAUUCGCUAGUUGGUGGGGUAAAGGCUUACCAAGGCGCCGAUCGGUAGCUGGUCUGAGAGGACGACCAGCCACACUGGGACUGAGACACCGCCCAGACCCCUACGGGCGGCAGCAGUGGGGAAUAUUGGACAAUGGGCGCAAGCCUGAUCCAGGAAUGCCGCGUGGGUGAAGAACGUCUUCGGAUCGUAAAGCCCUUUCGGCGGGGACGAUGAUGACGGUACCCGCAGAAGAAGCCCCGGCUAACUUCGUGCCAGCCGCCGCUGUAAAAC
rnacentral:rRNA from 1 species